rnacentral:misc_RNA from 1 species
UCCGGUUUGACACCGGCAGUCUCGCUAAAGUGCCCACCGUUACGUGCUGGCAACUAGCGACAGGGGUUUCGCUCGUUAGGGGACUUAACCCGACAUCUCACGACACGAGCUGACGACAGCCAUGCAGCACCUGUGCAUGUUCCACGGCAAGCCGCGUCAUUCUGCUUUCACAGAACUAAUCCAUGCAUGUCAAACCCGGGUCAGGUUCUUCGCGUUGCUUCGAAUUAAGCCACAUGCUCCACCGCUUGUGUGAGCCCCCGUCAAUUCCUUUGAGUUUUAGCCUUGCGGCCGUACUUCCCAGGCGGCGCACUUAACAUUUUCGUUGCGACCCACGGGCCGUCAGAGGACCAUGAAUCUUGUGCGCAUCGUUUACGGCGUGGACUA